UUAUAGUUUAUUUGAUAUAUCAAUGGAUAACUGUAGAAAAACUAGAGCUAAUACAUGCCGGAACCGCGAGGUUGUAUUUAUUAGAUAUUCCAAUUAGGUGAAUCAUGAUAACUUUGUCAAAUCUCGGUUUUGCCGAGAUAAAUCAUCCAAGUUUCUGCCCUAUCAUGCUUUCCAUGGUAGUGUAUUGGACUACCAUGGCUUUCACGGGUAACAGGGAAUUAGGGUUCGAUUCUGGAGAAGGAGCCUGAGAAACGGCUACUACAUCUACGGAAGGCAGCAGGCGCGUAAAUUACCCAAUCCUGACUCACGGAGGUGGUGACAAGAUAUAACAACGCAAUUUAAUUGUGAUUGUAGUGAGGGUUUUCCAAACCGAACCACUAGUACGAUUAGAGGGCAAGUCUGGUGCCAGCAGCCGCGGUAAUUCCAGCUCUAAUAGCGUAUAUUAAAGUUGCUGCACUUAAAAAGCUCGUAGUUGGAUUUCAAGGAUUGUGUACUCUUCUAGGGUAUGCACCCUACUAGUCUUUGACUGUUACUGUGAGAAAAUUAGAGUGUUUAAAGCAGGCAAUUGCAAGAAUACAUUAGCAUGGAAUAACGAAUGUAUCUAGAAUCUUGGUUAAUUCUAGGUUUCGAUUAAUAAAGACAGUUGGGGGCAUUAGUAUUUAAUUGUC
rnacentral:rRNA from 1 species